AUGGAAUGACUUGGAGAGUUGGUAAUGGUGAAAGCAUAUCAAUUUGGCAGGAUGCUUAAGUCCCUGGAUUGGAAAAACAAAUAAUUCUGGAGUCAGUCAAGGAUAAUAAUGUAAUCAGAGUGGCAGAUUCAAUUGAUUUGAAUUCAAGACAAUAGAAGAAGGAAAUUAUUACCAGACUAUUCAAUAACAAUGAGGUAGAGGCAAUCCUGGGCAUCCCUUUGGCAAAACAAUCGUGCGAAGAUAGAAGAGUUUGAAGUGGUGAACCAACAGGGGAAUACACAGUACGGAGUGGAUACAGAAGUUUAUUGAAGAAAAAUACAAACCCAAAAAUAGCCAACAAUGAAGAUACAAGCAAAGAAUAUUACAACAACCUUUGGCAGACAGAUUUGCUAAACAAGAUUAAAAUUACAAAUUGGAGAAUAUACAACAACUAUAUUCUUAUGUUUGGAAAUCUAUACUACAAAAGAGUCAAUAAUUCGGCGUUGUGUCCGAAAUGCAGGGAGGGAACAAAGACUUUGGAACAUGCGAUUAGGGACUGUACUGCAAUAAAGGAAAUCUGGUCAGAAUUAGGGUUUAGUAUGUUAGAGGAAGCAUUAAAUGAGAAUUUACAGGCAUAGAUAAGGAAAAACAAAAUGAUGAACUCCUUUUUUAUGCCAUAUGGGCGAUUUGUGUAAAAUAAAAUGAUGAACUCAAUAGAGAAAUGCAACACAAUGCAAUAUGUGUUUCUCAUAACUUUGAAAGCAAACAACAAUGGCUUUAAAUAGCCUUACAAAAAUAGAAAAGCUAAAAAUAAGCUAACGUAUCCCACUAACUUAUGAAACUAAAAAACUGAAACAAAGACUAAUUAAAAAACAAUAACAAACCAAGAUAUGCUCCUAAUAAUUAGGAACUUAUUCAACAAACAUAAGACUUCUUCAACCUAACAAAACCCUCCCCUAAACUAAACAUACCAGUUGUAUGUUAGUUUAUAUCACUAUAACUUCGAACGCCAAGUGCUUCUCUGAGUUUUUCGAAUUGAUCGAGCUUCAAGGGUUUGGUUAUAAUAUCAGCUACUUGCUCACCAGUUUCGUAGUACUCCAUGCUAAUUGAUCCAUCAGAUAUAAAACUUUUUAGAAAGUGGAACCUUACAUCAAUGUGUUUACUUCUUCCAUGAAAGACUAGAUUUUUUGCAAGCUUAAUGGUAGAGGAGUUAUCACAAAGAAUUUUGACUGAUUUACUUUGGGUACCUUUAAUUUGCUUCCAAAUUCGCUGCAUCCAUACACUUUGACAAGCACAUGAGGCAACAGCUACAUACUCUGUUUCUGUAGUUGACGAAGUAACAACGGGUUGCUUCUUUGAUGCCCAAGCUACUGCUCCUUCACUUAGCAUAAAGACAUAGCCUGAAGUACUCUUCUGAUCACACAAAUCUCCAGCAUAAUCACUGUCUAUGUACUCCAUCAGUUCAUGUGUGCAAAUCCUCUUGUAAAGAAUGCCAAAAUAUGUGGUAGCUUGAACAUAUCUCAGAAUUCUUUUAGCUACCAGCAUAUGCGCUUCCAUUGGAUUUGAUAUGAAUCUACUGAUCAGACAUACACUGUACAACAGAUAAGGUCUUGUGAUUGUCAUGUACAUUAAACUUCCUACGAUUUGCUUGAAUAAGGUUUCAUCGACUUGUGCUCAUUCUUCCUCAUUUGACAAUUUGCUGCCAGAAACUAUUGGAUUCUUGACUCCAUUGCAAGCCUCCAUUCUGAAUUUUUCAAGAACUUCAUUGGCAUAUUUCUUUUGGUUGAUGAAUAUCCCAUUAGUGCCUUGAUAUACUUCUAUUCCAAAAAAGCACUUAAUCUCACCCAGAUUAGUCAUUUCAAACUCAUUUUUCAUUGAGUUUUUGAAACCUUGCAUCAUUAACAAAUCAUUACUUGUAAAAAUGAGAUCAUCAACAUAGAGACUUACAAUCAGAAUCUUGUUAUCCUCACGCUUCUUGACAAACAAAGUGUGAUCACAGCAGCUCUUUUCGAAACCUUCUUUGAUAAAGUAUCCUUCAAUUCUGCUGAACUAUACUCUCGGAGCUUGUUUUAAGCCGUAGAGAGCCUCCUUCAAUUUGUACACUUUGUCCUCUUCUCCCUUCACUUCACAACCUUAUGGUUGAGCGACGUAUACAUCUUCACUGAAUUCACCAUGUAGAAAGGAAAUUUUGACGUCGAGCUGAAAGACUUUCCAGCCAUUUCUUGCUACAAGAGCUAAUACCAUUCGAAUAGUAUCCCAUCUUGUUACAGAAGCGAACACCUCAUUACAGUCUAUCCCCUUCUCUUGAACAUAUUCCUUGGCCACCAAUCUCGUCUUGCACUUAUCAAUUUCUCCAUUUUUGUUCAAUUUUUUUCUAUAGACCCACUUGACUCCAAUCACUUUUACAUCGGAGGGAGUUUUUACCCACUUCCAUGUAUGAUUCUUCUCUAUUGCUUCAAUUUCAAGAUCCAUCGCCUUCCUCCAAUCUUUUGAUUUUACUACUUGUUCAUAGGAUAAAGGAUCAUCAGUAGAUAAAAAUAACACAAAGUUUUGUACCUCAUCUUCUGGGAUACCUUCCCCACUCGUGCACUCAUCUAGAUAUGCUGGAGCCCUUCUUUCUCAAGUUUGAGGAGCUGCUACUUCAUCAUUGGAGAGAUUUACUGCUUCACUUGAGGUAGAGUUCUCAUCAGCUGAAUCUUCGUCGUUUAAAUUUGAUUCAUCUUCAUCAUUUUAAUUCUAUGAUUCUUCAUAGGUUUCUCCCCAAUCUAAUACAUCAUUUAUGGUUUCUUCUUUUGUACUGCUCCAAUUUCAACCUUUAUUUUAUUCAAAAACCACGUCUCUGCUGAUGGUGAUUUUCUUUGUCAGUGGAUCAAUCAUUUUAUAACCUUUGGAUUUUUUGCUGUAACCGAUCAAAACUUGCUUUUGGCUUCUUGCAUCUAGCUUUUGUCUUUUUGCCUCGGGUACAUAAACAUUUCCAAUGCAUCUAAACACCCGAAAGUAUUCAACAUUGGGUUUGAGGUUACUCCAGCAUUCUUCAGGGGUUUUAUUCUUCAAACAGGUAGUGAGACUUCUGCUUAACACAUGGCACGUCCACUUUACAACAUCUGGCCAGAACAUUUUCGGCAUCUUUUUUUCUUCAAGCAUGCAUCUCACCAUGUUGAGAAUGACACGAUUUUUAUGCUCAGAAAAUCCAUUUUGCUUAAGUGUAUAAGCUGUUGUAAGUUGCCUUUUGAUGCCUUGUGCCUUGCAAAAAUUUGAGAACUCCUCAGAGUUGAAUUCUCCUCCUCUGUCUAUUCUUAAACUCUUUUUGCUAUAUGAUGCAAGUGAAAUGGGGCCACAAAUAUCAAAGAGGAUGAGCUGCAGUUGCUUUGUUGCCCUCCAUUUACUCUUCUUUGGAAUAGCUUCUCUAUGUUGUUUUCCUACCAUGCAGCUAGUGCAUCUAUUUGUUGGUGUUCUAAUUUUAGGAAGCCCUUGAACCAUCUCAUUGUUAUGCAAUAAUGCCAAAUGUUUGUAACUCAGAUGUCCAUAUUGUUUGUGCCAAAUAUCGCUGGAAUCCUCAUUGUAUGAUUGAAGUAGGAGGUUGAUGUCAUGAGAAUAUUUGUGGUGACCACAAACAUUCUGUUGGCAGUCAUUAUACUUUCCAUUAUAAGCCCACGAGUUGGAUGGUAUAUCUUGCAAGCUUCAUGUUUGAUCAGAAUAGUGAUGCCUUGAUCUUGUAAUUAACCUAUACUGAUCAAAUUAUUGCAUAAAUCAGGUAUAAAAUACACAUCACUUACUGUUUGGACUUUUCUUCCAAAUUCCAGCUUGAUGUCCCAUUUUCUUUUCACCAUCAGUUUAAAGCCGUCCCAAGUUUUAUCGAAUGCUUGAAUCCUUCAUCAUGUCUUAUUAACCAUUCUUUGUUUCUAGACAUGUGAUUUAAACACCCAAAAUCGAGAAAUCAUACUCCUUCCCUUUUGUUUUACUUUGCAUCUACUUAUGCAAUCAGCAACAUCUCGUCUUCAUCAUCAAUUUCUACAUAAUGACCUUUCUUUUCCCAAUUGGGACAUUCAUACUGAUAAUUCCUUAAAUUGUGACACUUGUAGCAUUCUACAAUUGCUUUAUCUAUACUUUGUCUACCACGACCUCUUCGUCUUCCUCGACCUUUAGUCCAGCCUCUGCCUCUUCCACCUCGAUCUUCAUUUGUGACCUUCAAGACCUGCCCUUCUUCAAUUGGGCCUAUCAUUCUUUGUUUAUGAAUCAACAAACUGCUUUGAAUUUCAUCUAUUGUUAGAGUCUCAACAUUAUUUGAUUCAUCAACUGAGCAUACAGCAUAAUUAAAUUUAGGAACUAAGGAUCACAAAAUCUUCCCUGUAAUAUCAGCUUUUUUGACAUUCUCUCCGUAUAGUUUCAUCUUCUUGGCAAUUGAGAGAGUUCUUCCGAAAUAAGCAUUGACAGUUUCUCCUUCUUUCAUUCUCAAUAUUUCAAACUCAAUUUUUAGAGCUUGAAGUUCUGCUCUCUUGACCCUUGUUGAUCCCUUGAAUUUCUACUUCAUUGAAUCCCAUAUCUGUUUGGAUGUAUCAUCAUUGAGAAUGGUAUCCAUGAUUUCUCUACUUAUUGCUUGGUAGAGAUAACACUUCACUUUCCUGUCUUUCAAUUGCGGUUCUUCAAACAGCUUUACCUCUUCUUCAGAUGGUUUUCUCCCUGCUGGAAUUUUAUCUAUUCCAUCUUCUACUAGGCUCUAAAAUUCCUUUGCUCUAAGGAAAUUCACCAUCAACUUUGCCCAGUGUUCAUAGUACCCAUCAAAUUUGAGAACAGCAGCUUGCACAAACGCAUCACUGUUGGAACUGCUUUCCGCCAUUCUUCACACUCUUCUCUCGUGUUUCUCUCAAAAGAAAACUCUAUUCUUUUCUUCAAUCAGGCUUCUUAGACCAGGCUCCGACACCAAAUAUAAAAUAAAAUGAUGAACUCAAUAGAGAAACGUAACACAAUGCAAUCUGUAUUUCUCAUAAUUUUGAAAGAAAACAACAAUGGCUUUAAAUAGCCUUACAAAAACAGAAAUGCUAAAAAAAGCUAACGUAUCCCACUAACUCAGGAAACUAAAAAACUGAAACAAUGACUAAUUCAAAAACAAUAAAAAACUAAGAUAUGCUCCUAAUAAUUAGGAACUUAUUCAACAAACAUAAGACUUCUUCAAACCUAACAAUUUGGAUGGGACGAAAUAGAGUUUGACAUGAAAAAAUACAACAAUCAGCCACAAAACAGUACGAUUUAUUAGAAAGUAUAUAGAAGAAUGGUCGUUAGUACAAAAUAACAUACUGAGGCAGAAAAGCGACAUCGAAUGAUAGAAACCACUGGACCAUAAUAUUACCAAAAUAAACUUUGAUGGGGCCUAUAAUAAACAAAGGAAAAGAUCAGGAACGAGCAUAAUCUGCAGGAACUCAAAAGGUGAAAAUUUGGGCGUUAAAAUGACAAUUAAUGCACGAGUACCUACACCCUUCGCGGGGGAGGCGCUAGCCUGUUUACAAAUAGUACAUGUGGGGUUAGAUUUAAGACUCCGACGAGUAGUCAUCGAAGGAGGUGCACUCAGUAUUAUACGAUGAGUUCAAACAUCAAAAGAGGAUCGGUCAGUGUUAUGUUUAUACAUACAAGAUAUACAAAUACUAAGCAGAGGAUUUGAAGAGUGUCAUUCUUAGAAAAUCUCUAGAUCUGGCAAUGGAGUUGCACAUGAAUUUGCAAGAGUAGCAGUGGAGAGUCUAAGAAACAUUGAC
rnacentral:lncRNA from 1 species